rnacentral:lncRNA from 1 species
CCCAUAUCUAUUAAACCUUGCUAUAAAUAUCUUUUCUUUUUUUUGCCUUUAGUCAUUAUUCUUCAGCCCUAGCCGCCCCUUUCCCUUUCUCUUAUAUUUUCUUCUUCAAUUUUUCUUUUUCCUUCCCUGGUGUGCCACUACCCAAACACCUAGCUCAACUACUCUUUUUCCUUCAUUAUCCGUGGAUCUUUACACCAUUCUCCCCAUCUCCUUGCUGCUGUUUUAUCAUAAUAUUUCCAGCCUUAGAUCUAAAAUUUUUAACACUAAAAAAUGGUCUCCAUUGCUGCCCUAGAAGGUCUUCAUUGUCGCCUCUCUCUUCUUCCUAGAGUAAGUGUAUUUUUUCUUCUGCUUUCUUGACAAAUUUCUCCAUAAAAGACCCACAUUUCUAGAUCUGAAAUUUUAAAGGUUUUUAAGGGUUUAAAUGAUGAAUUUCUAGUUUUUAAACUCAUUUUUAUUAGGCCUCAAUUUUGGCCGCCAGUGGUGGAAAUAGAUAUUGAAUGCAUGAGAUAUUUGUUUAGGGUGAAAUGUUGUGGAAUGUACUAUAUGAAAAAUUAUUAUACAUCCACUAAAAGAUUUCCUAAAAUGGUAACGGAUAACAGUAUGCUAGAAUGUCACCGUGUUGAUGGUGAAAUUGAAUGCUUGAUAAGUGAAUGUUAUAAUGAGGGCAUGUAAAGCAUUCUACUGAAAUGGAAACGUAUAAAAUGUGUGUUUGACUGAAAUUCGUAUGACAUGUCGCAUGUGCAUGGGGUGGGAUUAUGUGGUUGAAGGAGGAGUUCUGUGGAGUAAUGGUGACAUGCUAAGUCCGCAUAUGUGUUGUCAGUGCACUGCACUGAGAGUAAUUAGGAGAACGGUGAUUAUAUCACAUUUUAUCUUGAAUGACAAUACAACUACAUUACAUAUAAUGGUGGUUUAACCACAUCGAGCUUUGCUCGCAAUGAUUAGAGUUUGGUAGAUGGUUUCUAGGAACUCCUGGUGUGUAGCGGUUGGUUGGGGUAGGAAAUCAUUCUACAUUAUAAUAUGUCCAUGACACUUAUGAAUAAUAAUGUUUAUGUUAUGUUUGUGUUGCAAUAUUAAUAAUGGUGAAUGAUAUUUGCAUGAAUGUUCGGAUUUACUUGUGGUUUAGACUCACAUUGAGCUAGUUAGCUCGCCCCAUAGUUUCAACCAUCAUAGGUAAUGCUCGAGACUAGGAUCGGACAUUACAUGCGGACAUAUGACAGACUUCGGAUUUUAUUAUUAUUUUGCUUGAAUUUUAAUUAAAUAUAUUUUGCUUUUGGACUGUAAAGCUAUUUGAAUUGUGGUUGGGUUUGUUUUUUCUACUUUGGGAUUUUCAUGCUUGUAUACUUAACAUAUAGAUUUGGUUUGAUAGGAAUAUGUGAAAUUCGACAAAGCAUGAUAUUUGACUAUAACGAUUAAUCUAUUAAAUAUCGAGUUUUCCCUGUAAUAAAAUAAAAGAUAACAAAGUUUUUGAUAAGAAACGAUGAGUUAAGUGAUUUCUAAACCAUGCUAAUGCUAAUAACGAGACUUAAGAAUGGUUGAAUUAAUUAAUGAGUUGUUUUCCCAAAUUAACAAUGGUAAAUCGCGAUUUUUCCUAAAAGAGAUGGUACUUAAGGUUUUCAACAAACGAUAAAGUAGCUUUACCUCGUAAGUGACCAAUGUGAUCUUCAUGAUUCAGCCAUAGUGUCUAGGCUGAGAUUGGAGGUUACAAAAUAUGAAUGAUUACAGGGUUGAAUAAGAAAAUAAGGACAAUUAAUGCCCAUGUGAACUUAGUAAAAACUUAGGAUACGAUUGGCAUGCCAAUAGGGUCAUAUGUGUGUUUGAUCGAAGAUUAUUAUAGAUUAUAAUGAGAUCUAGCAUCUAUUAUAGAUUCUCAGGUAAUAUAACAAGAUCUAGCCUUUGAGCUAGCUUUUGUUACAGAUUCUUGGGUAAUGUAAAAAGAUCUAGCUUUUGCUACAGAUUCUCGAGUAAUGUAAUGAGAUCCAGCCCUUGUUGUGGAUUCUCAGGUAAAAUAUGACAUAGGUUUGGCCCAGACAGUAACUUGAUGUAAUUUCAACUCGGAUGAGCAACUUAAUUCACCCAUGUAUCUGAGUCUGUUUUAUUAGGGUUCCCACCGGAUGAAACAUUAUAAUUGAAAAUUGGAAACUUGAAAAUGCAUUGAAAUGAAUAUUGUGUAAAUGGUGUAAUCUUAUAUAUUGAUAUUAUAAUGCGGUAUUGAAAUGAAUUAUGUGAAAUCGAUAUGAGAGUGUGACAAAUAGUAUAUUUUAUGGAAUUAAUUGUGCAUAUAUAUGUGUGAAUCAAUUGAAAUUGAACCCCGGGGGUCGGAAUCAAUGUGAAUGAGUCUAUUGCCUCGAGAUAGGGAUUUGAAUGAUAAGUUAAAUAGGUGAAUGAUGUCAAUUUAAUAUGGAAUUAGUAAGUAUGAUGUUAAGGUAUAUAAAUGUAUGUUUGGUUCAUGAUUAUAUUGAAUAUGAAUACAGUAUAAGGAUUGAUAUUUGAUAUGAAAUAUAUAUAUAUUGAUAAUUUCUUUUAUACACAUGAAAUGGAUUCAGUUACUAAAUGACAUAUAUGCACCCCAAUAUGUUAUGGUAUGAUAUAAAUUGGAUAAGCAAUGUAUUUGCACUUUGUGAUCAAUUGCUAAUGUUUAAGAUAUGUUAUACUGAAUCAUGAAAGUACCACUAAGCUUUAUCGUUCAGCAUACGGUUUGUUUAUUUCGUGCAUAGGUACAAAUAUAUCUCAAGGUUCCAAGAAGUGGUUCCAGCAUCUAGGAGAUAGCCCUCAACUCAGCAAUGUUUGUAUAGUACCUUUCAUUUUUGUUUUUGGCAAGUACCUAGGUUUGAAUUGGUUUUGUAUAUCAUAUAUGGUUAAGUUGAUGUUUAAGUUAGAAUGACUAAUUUGAUAUGUUAAAUUGGUAUUGUAAAUACUAUGCAUUGUGAUGGUUGAAAAUUGAAAUGAUUUCAAUAGGUAUAUGCCGUGUUAUGUUAAAUGAGAUAAUUUUUUGUCAAGUGGUCAAAUGGUUGCAAAUAUAGAAGUUGUCAUGGGUAGCAAAGUGUUGAAUGACAUUUUGUAUAAUGCAUAUGUGUAAAUGUUGAUAAGUGGUAAGAAUUGAACAUAUGAAAGUAGCACAUUUGGUUGGUUGGUUGAAUGAAAGAAAUGGGUAAUGUGUUUAGGUGAAUUGAGUAGGCUCCAAAUGGCCUUUUUUGCAAACAAACGGUUACGUCACGAUGUGAAGCCCUUUUCAUUGCGAUGAAACCGAUUCAAUGAGUUACGUUGCGAUGAGGAACCCUUGAAGUUGUAACGUCAUCUCAAUAUUUUAUAAUCUUUACAAUUUGGUCCUAAUUCGACCAUAGGUUAGAAAAAGAG